UAGGGUUUGAUGACGACGAGCAUAGCGAUGUACCCUCUGUAGGUGUUGCGGUGCUCCCCCAUCUUGCACACCACCGUCCCCACGCACCUGCCUCCGUGGAACGCCAUGAAACAGAGCUGCGGCCACAGAUACACGAAGUACCGAUAGGUGAAGAUGGAGUACGGCUCACUCAGUUCUUGGUCCACCAGGCCCAUAAUUAGAGGCAGGUGCUCUUCUCCUCCAUAGCUCAAGUACUCUAUCUCCAACGCCGCCGACGACGACAAAUUUACCUUCUCAAUCUCACCCCCUCGUCCUCCGCCGCCGCAGCUUUCUUCUUCUUCUUCUU
rnacentral:lncRNA from 1 species